rnacentral:rRNA from 1 species
AAGAGACAGCAGCAGCCGCGGGAAUACGGAGGGAGCUAGCGUUGUUCGGAAUUACUGGGCGUAAAGCGCGCGUAGGCGGUUACUCAAGUCAGAGGUGAAAGCCCGGGGCUCAACCCCGGAACUGCCUUUGAAACUAGGUGACUAGAAUCUUGGAGAGGUCAGUGGAAUUCCGAGUGUAGAGGUGAAAUUCGUAGAUAUUCGGAUGAACACCAGUGGCGAAGGCGACUGACUGGACAAGUAUUGACGCUGAGGUGCGAAAGCGUGGGGAGCAAACAGGAUUAGAUACCCCUGUAGUCCCUGUCUCUUAUAC